UUUACCAUUAUAGUGAAUGAAUAGCACCUCCUGAGAUUGUGAUUGUUUUCGUUUUGGUAUGCUCGUUGUCUCCUCUUCCUCCGCCUCCAUCGUCCCCGCCGUCGUCGUCGUACUUAGUCCUUCUCCUCCUCCUCCUCCUCCUCCUCCUCCUCCUCUCUCUCUCUCUCUCUCUCUCUCUCUCUCUCUCAUAUGUGUAUGUGUGUAUGUAUAUAUUUGCACAUCCCAUUCCCCCCUGAACCCAAAUCCUAUGUCGAAUCGAGGCUGUGCGCGGGCCAUUCUCUGGAGCGGAUGCCGAUUAAGGUCCCCAUCUCUAUGGUGCCGCCUCGCCAUCUCUCUCCCGUUGCAUUGCAUUGCAUUGGCAUCGGUGGUGUCAGCCUGUCAGGGGCUGGGAACUGUGCGGUGGCACCUGAGGUGGCUUCCGAGUCGGGUUUGGCCGGCCGCGGUGUCCUGAUUCGUUGUUCCUGAUGGAUGCAUGGAUGGAGCAUGCAUAUAUAGCUCGCUUGUGAUGCCUUCUCUCAAUUCCUGUCGAUAUCCCCGCUGCCGCAGAGGUGAUCUCUUUCGCCUGUUGUUGCCUCUUUGUGCUGUGAUCUGCUCUGCUCUGCUUUCGAAUGUUCCUAGCCCUUCCGCUCUCAUCCUCUCCACCUUGGUGGCAUUUGGAUGGGCAGUGCGAACGGGAUCAGGAUAUGAGAUGAGAUGCAAAAGAGGUGGUUUUCUGACUUGGGUAAAAGUACCCCGUGUAAGUGAAAUUUUACUUAGGCUGACCAAAUCUGACAUGGAAACAGACGCCGACCAAUAUACGCGGUGCGAUGAGGGCGAUGAUGUUCAACCUUUUCCGAGUUGCAUGCCAUUGAAUAAUCAAGGCAGUUGUGGGUAUCUAUUUUGAGCUAAGCUCUCCCCUCUUGAAGCCUAUUUAACCAUCCCUUAUUAGUUGUGGUUCUGUGCCUAGGAUGGUCAUUUAGAUAUGUGAUAACCAGCGCAGUUCCACUUACAUUGGGAUGAGUAAAUUUGUGCAGCAAGAGAUGCGAGAACUUGGCUUGUAUGAUUGAGCAAAGGCGAAGCUGAGCCCUCUUAGUGCUGUUUCAAUGCACCAGCCAUCAGCCACAGCCAAGCAAACACAGCGGAUAUUUCAGCAUUGUCUUUCCGUACAAUCCAUUCUCUCUUUUUUUCUUGAAUACGCAGGAGAGCUGCGUAACUUUGUAUUAAGAAGGGUCCAAUUACAAUAAACCACACCACACCGUGGCCAUUCUCUCUGUUUGUCUUUCUUUUCAUCUUUCAAACUAUCGUCAGCUUGAAAAUUUAACAAUGUGGAAAAAUCGCCUUCAUCCUGCGGUCAGAACUUGACUAGUAACAGUGGCCCUCUCGGACCUGUGCUUCCCGGGGCCAUCCUUCCUGCUGUGACAUUUUGGCUUUUUGGAUCUUGAGCCGCUGUGCAUGUUCGCAGCAGCAGACGAUUGGGAACUGUGGGUCAGGUUUGCUGUGGUUCCCGGUCGGGGUUUUGUCAGGCAGUGUGAGAGCUGGCCUUGUGAUUGAUGGAUCCUUCCCUCUCUCGUUUGUUUAUCUAUUUGUAUCUGCACUCAUGUCUGAAUUUUUCUCUCCCUUGAUAUAAAGAUACACAGCUCUCAUGCAUAAAUGUCUGAAUUUUUGCUUACAUGCAUGCCUUUGAGAAUUUGAGAAUGCUAUGUGUAAAUUGACCUGGAUAUUUAUACGAAAAUGGAGCGCAAUGAUGAUGAGCCCUUUUAAAGGACUUGCCUUUAUGUUCCAUCAAUCGAGCCAGCUGUGGUAUCAAAUUUGACCUUGACCCUGUCCUUUGCUGCCACUAUGCAACCAUUCCUUGUUUGUGGUUUUCUGCCUAGGAUGGUCAUUCAGAUGAGUGAUAACCAGUGCAGCUCCCUCUCAUGGCCUUCCCCUUUCCUGGUGGCGACGACUGGACUAGCGUGGUGCCCUUCGUCAUGUUUUCACCAGGCCGUUUUCUGGUGACAAGCACCCACUAGGUAUGCUCAUCCCUUCUCUUUCCUUCCUGCUGUGCGAAAUGGAGCACCCCAAACCCUAAUGUAAGCUAUUCGGAUCUGACCCUAUUACAUGUAUAUAUAUGUAUUGUACCUACUAACUUUGAUCUUUUUGGCAAAAAUUAUCAUGUGUACAUUUGCACACCCAUGUCCUAUACUGGUUUCUGCGGUUCUGCCCCUAUUCUUGAACGGGUGCCGCAAGGUUAGUGGUGGCAGCAAGCAAGGGUUGGGAACUGCAAGUUGGGUUUUUGUUUUGGUGCUUAUCAGUCGCAAUUUUUUACUUAGAAUUUUCAACCUCUUUUUGAAACACCCCUCAAAAAAGGGGAAAAAAGGAUAAAAGAAAUCUCAAUCCAUAUCCCACUAUACAUCCACGUUGGAAUUUUAUUGUUUAUGAUGCUGUGUGAUAUUUCUUUUUUGUUUGUUCUACUCUUGAGUGGCUAUGAUGAUUUACCUUCCCAUUAGAGAGAUCAUGCUCGCUAGCAUCAUCUUAGUUGGCACCUGUAGUACGUUGUAUUUUUUGUUGCUUAACUAGGAUGGCUUGUGCAACAAGUAACCAGUUCUGCAGCCAACUGCCCUUUUACUGCUGAUAGUGAUGACAGCUGGCGGCCCAUUUGAACGGACAUUGGAAAAUGCUGUUUAAAAGUUCAUUUGGGUUGAGAGAGAGAGAGGUUACAUUGUAUUGCAGAUGUCAUGCUGAUAAUGGGUUAAAUCUGAGCCAUUCAAGUGAUCUCUUUUUCCUUUCUUGAAGCCUGUCUGAAUAAAUCUUUAAAUGACAUAUAUAUUGAGAUGUGCCAUGGUCCAAAUGUUGUUGUGAGGAGUGAUAUUGGUGUGGAAUCUAAAACCACCUAACCCACUCUUUGGACUAUGCAAAACCUUCGAGUUAACCCCCCCAGGGUUGUUUGAAGGUGGCUUUUGCUGCAAUUGCAGCUAAUCUGUUCUUUGAUUUUAUUGUUUCAAACUUUUUGUUUUUACUCAUUUGAGCUCUUAGCUACUGAUUCCUUUGUGCCCUUUUGCAUUUCGUGUUGAUCUCUACAACUCUGUGAUUCUGUCUUACCGCCGACCUAGAUCUCUAGGGGCUCUUUACUACACUUCCUGCUGGAUUCGAAGCUGGGACCUGGGACCUGGGUCAAUGUUAGUGGGACUAAUAUGUCAAGUCAGUUCAAUCUCACGAUUUCCUGCCUUGGUCUCAAGAGUGAAGAAAUAAAAUUCCAAUUGGGGGCAAUGAUCAACAAUGAUGUCUGAGAUAAGCACCUUUGAGGAAUCAGGGCUGCUGUUGGCAUUAAACUGGAAUUCUGUGUCCUCUCUUGGAAACCUUUUCAACUAUGCAUUAAACUUUUUCACCAACUAAACACACCUUAUGCUAGAAUGGUUUUGUCCUUGGAUGGUCAUGCCAUUUUUCAUGGUUGAUAACCAGGACAGCUCCACUUAUCUGAACAGGUUGAUCAGGUGAUAAGAGAAGGCGCGGAUACAGUUAUAUGAUCGAGCAAAGGCGAAGCUGAGCCCCCUCAAAUAUUUUACUGCUACCCACACAGUACUUUAUUUACCUUCUACCUUGCUGCAACAUCAGUGCUUCCCUUGCAUGAAGAUACUUUCAGUUACCUUCGUUCAUCUCAAAAUUUCUUGCAAUGAUUUCUUUAGUUAUGUUUUGGUCUUGUACUCCUGUUGGACCUGGGUGAGUUUGGACUCUGAAGGCGUUGUGCUUUUGGCAAUUACUAGUAACCUUUGGGCCAUCAGAACUAUUAUAUCUGUGCAGUGCUGAUCCAUUCUGGUAGUUCCUAUACAUUCCUUUGUUUUUUCAAUUUUCGUUUCCACUUGUGUCUGUUGAUCUUACUUUUGUACUGUUCUUCAGUGGCAGUGAUGAUCGAAUGCCCCAUAGAUCUAUUGCUUUUUAGAAUCCCAGAAUUGUUGUUACCUUUAGUAUUUUGCUCAAUUAGCAGCAAAACUAGGAUGGCUUGUACCAUUACAAGUAAUCAUUUUUGCAACUAAUUGUAGUAAUUGCUGCUGCUUCGGUGGCUGUGGUGGUGGUGGUGUAGCAGUAGUACAUAUUGGAAUGAACAAUCCUACUUAAAAUGUUCAUUUUAGAGAGAGAGAGAGAGAGAGAGAGAGAGAGAGAGAGAGAGAGAGAGAUUACAUGGUGCUUCCAACAAGUAUUGUGUUGAUAUUGGGGCAGAUCUGAGCCAUUCGAACGACCUUACUGUUUCUGCUUUAUCAUUAUUUCGUACUUAAGUAUUUCUCGUUUGCUCUCUAUCUACUUAUUCCUUAAUGCUAUCCAGUAUUAUUCUAUGCGUUAUUUCAAAUUGGACCUGGAUCGUGGUGAUGGGACUAAGAUGUCAACUUGUCUUGUGUCUUGAUUUGAUACACCUAGAUGUGGGUGGAUUCCUUGUUUUGUUGGUUGGGAUGACCCAACUUGUUUGGAUGAAUUGCUUGUUUUGAUCUAAAUAAGUUUUUUUCCUGCAAGAUCUCGUUAACUACUUUCUCCAACCUGAAAAUGCUGCCCAAUUUCAGCGUGCGUCACUCUAUUCUUGGUUUGUUUCUUCCACUUUUAUGUGAGCUGAUCUGCUUGUCUUUGCUGACAUUUUGUGGUGACAAGGAUGCAUAGUUGCACAAAAAAAAAAAGGAACUGUUGUCAAGAAUAAAGAAAAUAGUAUACUUUAUCAAGGGUGGUGAGCAGUUGUCCCUUGAUGCACGCCUUUGAGCAAUGAAUUGAAGUUAUCAAUACAAACCCCUGCUAGCAGACUCUUGAUCAACUCAAGAUGUUGGUGGUUUUGUUUCAUGCAUAAUCUUGUAACUCAGUUUGAUCAACUCAAGACGACGGUGGUUUUGUUUCAUGUAUAAUCUUGUAACUCAGUUGAUACUGUUGUGGCAAUUGUUGAAUAAUGUAGAUCAGGCAGUUAUUCUUUUUGAAACUGCAUCCGGCAGUCUUUUUGGUAA